GAUGAACGCUGGCGGCGUGCUUAACACAUGCAAGUCGAACGGAAAGGCCUCUGCUUGCAGGGGUACUCGAGUGGCGAACGGGUGAGUAACACGUGGGUGAUCUGCCCUGCACUUCGGGAUAAGCCUGGGAAACUGGGUCUAAUACCGGAUAGGACAAUGGUUUGGAUGCUGUUGUGGAAAGUUUUUCGGUGUGGGAUGAGCUCGCGGCCUAUCAGCUUGUUGGUGGGGUAAUGGCCUACCAAGGCGUCGACGGGUAGCCGGCCUGGGAGGGUGUACGGCCACAGUGGGACUGAGAUACGGCCCAGACUCCGACGGGAGGAAGCAGUGGGGAAUAUUGAACAAUGGGCGCAAGCCUGAUGCAGCGACGCCGCGUGGGGGAUGACGGCCUUCGGGUUGUAAACUCCUUUCGCUAGGGACGAAGCGUUUUUGUGACGGUACCGGGAGAAGAAGCACCGGCUAACUACGU
rnacentral:rRNA from 1 species